rnacentral:tRNA from 1 species
GUGGAUGUAGUUCAAUGGUAGAACGCACGACUGUGGCUCGUGAGACGUGGGUUCGAUUCCCACCUUCCACC